GAAAUACAUGUUAUCUUUGACUUUGUAUUUUGUAAAACAAACCUAUCAUCAACCUUUAUUUUCUCUUCCAAAAGAUGAAGAUUCUGUAACAUCCAAUGAACAAUCACAUUUUGAAAAGAACAUAGAAAAAGAUUGUUUGAUUCUUGUCAACCAUGGGAAGACAGAAGCAUUCUGAUUCAUAUCCUGAGUAUAGUAAAAGCCUCUUUCAUAUUAUUAAGCAUCAUCCAUUAUGUCACCAUUUCAUACAAAAAAGACAGACAUACAACAACUGUGACGACGACGAAAGAACGGUUACAGGAACUGUAAUUGCACAAAGGGAUGAAGCUUUCUCUUGUGACAAAAGAAAGAACAUAAGCCUUGACAAGUUAAGCAACUUAAAUGU